rnacentral:rRNA from 1 species
UACGAAGGGGGCUAGCGUUGCUCGGAAUUACUGGGCGUAAAGCGCACGUAGGCGGUCUUUUAAGUCGGGGGUGAAAUCCUGGAGCUCAACUCCAGAACUGCCUUCGAUACUGGAAGACUCGAGUCCGGGAGAGGUGAGUGGAACUGCGAGUGUAGAGGUGAAAUGCGUAGAUAUCAGGAGGAGCACCUGUGGCGAAAGCGGCUCACUGGACCACAACUGACGCUGAUGCACGAAAGCUAGGGGAGCAAACAGG